GUGCCAGCCGCCGCGGUAAUACAGAGGGUGCAAGCGUUGUUCGGAAUUAUUGGGCGUAAAGCGCGUGUAGGCGGCUUAGCAAGUUGGGUGUGAAAGCCCUCGGCUUAACCGAGGAAGUGCGCCCAAAACUACUUGGCUUGAGUACCGGAGAGGGUGGCGGAAUUCCCGGUGUAGAGGUGAAAUUCGUAGAUAUCGGGAGGAACACCAGUGGCGAAGGCGGCCACCUGGACGGUCACUGACGCUGAGACGCGAAAGCGUGGGGAGCAAACAGGAUUAGAAACCCCUGUAGUCC
rnacentral:rRNA from 1 species